AUUUUUAGUAGAGACAGGGUUUUACCAUGUUGGCCAGGCUGGUCUCAAACUCCUGACCUCAGCCCAAACCUCUCUUUUUUAAACAUUCUAUGUUUCGUAGUUACCUUUUCUUUGAUAUUAAUUAUUUCUCUGAGGUUUACUUCUGCUCUAAACCCUAACCUUUUUUAUUCUUCUCUGCUUUUUAAACUUUCAUAUUGGACAUUUUCCUCAAAUAUUUGUUUCUUGGCUCUGUAGUCAUUGUUGAGAGUGAGAAACUAAAAAGCUCACUGGUAGAGAGGGGUAUAUGUGUGCCUCUGGCAUGGUGGGACAUUGACUCUGGCUUCCAGAUUGGUGAGCAUCACUAUAGAGCAGUCUAAUGGUCAGCUAGUAUUUUCAUUAUAGACCCUCAAAUGUUGCUAGUGAUAAUUAUCUUCAGCAAGAUAAUUACCUGGAGAAGUUCAGCCUCUUUGCAGAAGGAUCUUCCAGUCUACUUAAGCUUGGCUGCUGUCUGCUCUUGGAGUUGGACAGAAU